rnacentral:rRNA from 1 species
AUACGGAGGGUGCAAGCGUUAUUCGGAAUCACUGGGCGUAAAGGACGCGUAGGCGGGUUGGCAAGUCAGAUGUGAAAUCCUACAGCUUAACUGUAGAACUGCAAUUGAAACUGCUAACCUAGAGUAUGGGAGGGGGAGAUGGAAUUAGUGGUGUAGGGGUAAAAUCCGUAGAUAUCACUAGGAAUACCGAAGGCGAAGGCGAUCUCCUGGAACAUAACUGACGCUAAGGCGUGAAAGCGUGGGGAGCAAACAGGAUUAGAAACCCCAGUAGUCC